GAUGAACGCUAGCGGCAGGCCUAACACAUGCAAGUCGAGGGGCAGCAUAAAAAUUCAGCAAUGAGUUUUGGUGGCGACCGGCGGACGGGUGCGUAACGCGUAUGCAACCUACCUUUAACAGGGGGAUAACGGAGAGAAAUUUCCACUAAUACCCCAUAAUAUCAGAAGAGGCAUCUCUUUCGGUUGAAAUCUCCGGAGGUUAAAGAUGGGCAUGCGUUGUAUUAGGUAGUUGGUGGGGUAAUGGCUCACCAAGCCUACGAUACAUAGGGGGACUGAGAGGUUAGCCCCCCACACUGGUACUGAGACACGGACCAGACUCCUACGGGAGGCAGCAGUGAGGAAUAUUGGUCAAUGGGGGCAACCCUGAACCAGCCAUGCCGCGCGCAGGAAGACGGCUCUAUGAGUUGUAAACUGCUUUUGUACAGGGUAAUUGCGCGCACGUGUGCGUGUUUGAAAGUAUCGUAUGAAUAAGGAUCGGCUAACUCCGUGCCAGCCGCCGCGGUAA
rnacentral:rRNA from 1 species